rnacentral:lncRNA from 1 species
CUUAAUUUCACUCACAAUUUUUCCUCUUCCGAAACAUUUUUUAACAAAAGUUAACAGAAAAAUUCUCCUAUAGUAAAAUAUCCCGAAAUAUUGGUUUAGUGCUCAAUUUGACUCAAGUGGACUCCGGUUUUUUGUCAGCAGGUAGUAUGAAAUAACAACGACAAAACCUGCCGUUUGUAAACUAAUUAGUUGAAACGGACAGUUUUUGAUGCGUGCAUCGUAUCCAACCUUAAAUUUCGAUAAAGAAACAUACAUGGUGACACUUCAUUUCGUACCAUGUCUUGUGGUCCAUCGACGCCCAUCUGCAGAGUGUAAGAGGAAAGUAAUUGAAAAAUGCAAGGAAUGCCAAUUCUUGUUGACACUGCCGCAUUUCUCUCUUAUCGUGGAAUGUGCUCACAAUCACGGCGCAGGAAUUACAAAACGCUCUCUGCGGAAUUGCGAAUAGCCCCGCUUCCUCUCCUCAUUUCUACUACAAAGAAGUUACCCGUCGAAACUGCGAUGUACUAACAAGCCAUUAUUUUCAUCAUCAGAGCGAGAAAAACAAGAAAAAACUGAGCACCUGAAUUUUCGAUUGUGCUCACUCAAGUGUGGAGUGGAGUAUUUACUUCAUACAGUGCCGAACUGCAUCAUUUGCACUUUUUCACCUGCGAGUGGAGGGUAAAGCGAAAUUCGUAAGGGCGCUGUCAAAAUCACGAGAACACCACGUCUGCCGUGUUGAAGAAAAACAUCCUAAGGCCAUUCGAACACUGCCAAAUUUCUCUCAAGUAAAAUAUGCAUUCGUUAGAAAACUUAUGAACAUUUUCCCUUGAAAUUUUCGUACACAUCAGAUCAAAGUACGAAUGAAAUUCUCUAAAAAUUUUUUUAAAGAAAAGUGAUCACGAAAAUAUGGAAGAUGCGUAAUUAUCAAGGGAAAUUUGGCAACGUCUGAGGGUUAUACGGCGUUCAUUCUGAGUACGGCAGACGUUACGGCGCGACCUUUCAGAUACUUCAGAUCAAACUACGAAUGAAAUUCUCUAAAUAAUUUUUAAAAAAAGUCUGAUCUCAAAUAUUAGAAAAUGCAGAUUUGUCAAGGGAAAUUUGGCAACGUGUGAGGGUUCAUACGGCGUUCGUCCUGAGUACGGCAGACGUUACGGCGCGGCGAAAGGACCGUCCGUGUCCCGACGGAUUGCUUCCGAGCGAUAGGAAAGGGAACGUUCUGAGUAGAAUUCCACGUGACAGCCGGGAAAUUAAUGAGGGAUGAACAUUUUGAUGCUUAAAAUUAACACAAACUUGUAACCAUUUAUCACCAUUAUUAUAGACAGUGCGCUCGGGGAAACACAUUGGAGUAUCGGCGCCAAAACACUCCUCUCCGCCGAGCAACAUAUUAUGAAGAUGUACCUUCCAAGUGCAUAAUCGCGCGCUUUUUACGAGAAUUUUUUCGCGCUCUCAAUUUCACGCUACCGCAUGAGACGUAUUUCUGCCAAACGGAACUAUGUGCAUUAAGACAUGAGCUCAAGACCCAUAAGAAUGUAUGCAUAACAGGGCUCACGUCAUAAUGGACAUAAUUCUGUUUGACAGAAAUACGUCCAUGUCUCCUCUAACUUAGUGAUGUAAGCUCCGUUACGCAGCUGGAUGAUAGUCGUGGUUCGAGCCAUUGUUGUCAUGUUGAAAUUUUAUUUUUUUUUUAAUGUAUUGGUAAUACGUUUAAAAUAAUUGAGGCGUUGGGCAGAAAGGACAUUUCUCGGUGGCGGUGUUUCAGAAUCUUCAGUGCUGAUUUUCAUUUUAGAGAGGAAGAUAUUGCGUGAAUUGACAGAAAUUUUACGUUUUCAGCAUUGUAAAGGCAUAUAGAAUAUCCAGUAAAAGUUACGACAAAUUUAGCGGAGAUUUUGAGACAAUGCAACCAAGAAAUUCCUUUUUUACACCCAACGCUUCAAUUACUAGAAAGCAAUAUUCAUGAAUAUCUGCACCACAAUAAACAAGCUUAAAAGCAUUGCGGUGGAAGUAUAUGUAAUUUCUUGUUGCGGAAUGCAGUCUGAAUUUACAAACAGGUUGAAAAGUUUUAUGGUUUUGUUUAGCUUUAGAAUAGCAAUUUUAUUUUUUUUUAGCAGAUAAAAGCAAUAUAAUACAAUGUAAUUUUAGCCCAGCAUGUUAUCGAUCUGGUGCGCCGUAUAUUCCUGAAAAUACAAAUCGCAAUAUCACUUAUACAACUUACUUGUACUUACUUGUUCUUAUAUGAGUUAGCUGAUUUGAGUGAGCCCUAAGAAAAACUCAUAAAAAAAAAAAAAAAAAAAAAAAAAAAAAACGCGAGAUAGCUCUAGAUAUGGGAACGUAAAAAACUCUUGACACACACGAAAAAAUUACCAACUGGACGAAAAUACGUCGAUUGUCGGUGUGAAUAUAUACCCCUGUGGUCAACUUAUUUUCGUAUGCUAGGUGGUCUUAUCGGCUGCGUCCGUAGUUUCAACUCCGGACACUCCAAGGGAUCCUGUGGAACAUUGAAAUUGACAAUAAACAUUACGAAUGAGGUCCCAUUCGACAGUAUUUUUUAUUGCAUGGAAACGGCUAAAGGCAGAGUGAAAAUGAAAUUGAAUCAGUGAGAGCGAAAACAUACCAACUCCAUUGCUCGAAAAUGCUCAAUUUUCAGUGAAGAUGGGUAAUUUUAAUGAAGGUGAUUGAAG